rnacentral:rRNA from 1 species
UACGUAGGGAGCAAGCGUUGUUCGGAUUUACUGGGCGUAAAGGGCGCGUAGGCGGCAUAUUAAGUCAGCUGUGAAAUCUCCGAGCUUAACUCGGAACUGUCAGCUGAUACUGAUGUGCUAGAGUGCAGAAGGGGCAAUCGGAAUUCUUGGUGUAGCGGUGAAAUGCGUAGAUAUCAAGAGGAACACCUGAGGUGAAGACGGGUUGCUGGGCUGACACUGACGCUGAGGCGCGAAAGCCAGGGGAGCAAACGGGAUUAGAAACCCCCGUAGUCC